AGCCACUACCAACACUAGAUCAUACAUUGGAAAAAUCUCCGAAAACAUCAAGGUGCAAAUCAUGUUACAGAUUACUGGUGAAAAAAGAAGGAAGACUAAUUGCACAAAAAAAAAAAAACAAAAAGAAUCAAAACAAGAUGUAAUCAGUGUGAUCAACAUUUAUGUCCGGAAUGUUUCUUCAAGACUCACAAAACAAGAAAA